rnacentral:lncRNA from 1 species
GGAAGGUUAAAAAAGGCAGUGUGUCUUGUUUGUAUUAACAUGAAGUCCUCCCCCCACACCAUGAGACCAAAUAGCCACAAAGAAGGAAAACGUGGGAGCUUCCAAAUCACCUUCUCCUCUUGUCCUCUGACCCAGGGAAGCCAACACUCUUCACAGAAAGGUACUCUUUCUUCUGUGAACAGGACAUCAAUUUCUGUUAACAUGACACAACCGAAUAGCACAAAUGGGUAAGCACAUUAAAUACGAAUUAUUGUGAAAUUAACUUUAUGUUUGAAAACUUGGAAAACAAUCAACUUAUAAGCAAUCCAAGAGCAACCCCCCCCUCCUCUCUUUCAUCAAGUAAAUUGAAGGCCCAUGAAAUAGAGAAG